rnacentral:rRNA from 1 species
AUCAAGUGCCUUAAGGGUGUUCGGUGGAUGCCUUGGCGCUGAGAGGCGAUGAAGGACGUGCUACGCUGCGAUAAGCCGUGGGGAGCUGCGAAGAAGCUUUGAUCCACGGAUUUCCGAAUGGGGAAACCCACCUUCGAUAGCCGGAACUCCAAGACCUUGUGUUUUGGGGUUCGACCAGAAAUGGAAGAAAUCAGACCGCGAGGUUUUGGAUUUCCGGUUAUCAAGAGAAGGUAUGAGACUUCCGAAUAAAAUAGGAGGUUUUAAGCGAACCCAGGGAACUGAAACAUCUAAGUACCUGGAGGAAAGGACAUCAAUCGAGACUCCGUUAGUAGUGGCGAGCGAACGCGGACCAGGCCAGUGAUACAUCAAAGACAAUCGGAACCUGUCAGGAAAGCAGGGCCUCAGAGGGUGAUAGCCCCGUACGAGUAAUGCGAUGAUGUAUCCACGAGUACGGCGG